UUUGUUGCAAUGAGUUUCUUUUCACUCAAAUAAUGCUUUAAAUUAAAAAAAGUGUAAAAAAUAAGAAAAAAAUUUUCAAAAAAUUUUCAACUCGAAAAUUUCAUAAGGGGUACCCCUUGCCAUUUUUUUGAGAAAUUUUGCAAAAAAAAUUAAAUUGAUUUAUUUUAAUGCCAAUCGGUUGCAAUGUGUUUCUUUUCACUCAAGUAAUGCUUUAAAUAAAAAAAGAGUGAAAAAUAAUCAAAAAGUCAAAAAAUUCAAAAAAAUAAAAAUUUAUUAAGGCUCAUUUUUGCACCAAGUUUUGCCUAUAACUCGAUCGGUAUCCAACGGAUCGCCAAUCUUUAAACUGUGGUCGAUAGAUGGCACCAAUGGCUACAUUUUCUUCUUGGACGGCCAUGCCCUCAGAUGUCUGUGCCAGAAGUUAUUUGAGUAACCAAGUUCCUUACCCUGUUUGAGAAAAUGUAAAAUUUGCUUUCCUCAUUUUUGCACCAAAUUUUGCCUAUAACUCGGUCGGUAUCCAACAGAUCGCCAAUCUUUAAACUGUGGUCGAUAGAUGGCACCAAUGGCUACAUUUUCUUCUUGGACGGCCAUGCCCUCAGAUGUCUCUGUCAGAAGUUAUUCGAGGAACCAAGUUCCUUACCCUGUUUGAGAAAAUGUAAAAUUUUCCUCAUUUUUCUGCAAUUCAGCAAAGUUUUUAAAUGUGAUAUAAUUUAAUGCGAAUUUGUUGCAAUAAGUUUCUUUUCACUCAAAUAAUGCUUUAAAUUAAAAAAAGAAUAAAAAAUCAGAUAAAAAUUUCAAAAAAAUUUUUCACUCGAAAAUUUCAUAAGGGGUACCCCUUGCCAUUUUUUUGAGAAAUUUUGCAAAAAAAAUUAAAUUGAUUUAUUUUAAUGCCAAUCGGUUGCAAUGUGUUUCUUUUCACUCAAGUAAUGCUUUAAAUAAAAAAAAAGAGUGAAAAAUAAUCAAAAAUCAAAAAAUUAAAAAAAAUAAAAAUUUACUAAGGCUCAUUUUUGCACCAAGUUUUGCCUAUAACUCGAUCGGUAUCCAACGAAUCGCCAAUCUUUAAACUGUGGUCGAUAGAUGGCACCAAUGGCUACAUUUUCUUCUUGGACGGCCAUGCCCUCAGAUGUCUGUGCCAGAAGUUAUUUGAGUAACCAAGUUCCUUACCCUGUUUGAGAAAAUGUAACAUUUUCCUCAUUUUUGCACCAAUUUUUGUCUAUAACUCGAUCGGUAUCCAACAGAUCGCCAAUCUUUAAACUGUGGUCGAUAGAUGGCACCAAUGGCUAUAUUUUCUUCUUGGACGGCCAUGUUCCAGAUGUCUCUGUCAGAAGUUAUUCGAGGAACCAAGUUUCUUACCCUGUUUGAGAAUAUGUAAAAUUUUCCUAAUUUUUCUGCAAUUCAGCAAAUUUUUUAAAUGUGAUAUAUUUUAUUGCGAAUUUGUUGCAAUAAGUUUCUUUUCACUCAAAUAAUGCUUUAAAUUAAAAAAAAAAUAAAAAAUCAGAAAAAAAUUUCAAAAAAAUUUUCCAUUCGAAAAUUUCAUAAGGGGUACCCCUUGCCAUUUUUUUUGAGAAAUUUUGCAAAAAAAAUUAAAUUGAUUUAUUUUAAUGCCAAUCGGUUGCAAUGUGUUUCUUUUCACUCAAGUAAUGCUUUAAAUAAAAAAAAGAGUGAAAAAUAAUCAAAAAGUCAAAAAAUUCAAAAAAAUAAAAAUUUACUAAGGCUCAUUUUUGCACCAAGUUUUGCCUAUAACUCGGUCGGUAUCCAACGGAUCGCCAAUAUUUAAACUGUGGUCGAUAGAUGGCACCAAUGGCUAUAUUUUCUUCUUGGACGGCCAUGCCCUCAGAUGUCUGUGCCAGAAGUUAUUUGAGUAACCAAGUUCCUUACCCUGUUUGAGAAAAUGUAAAAUUUUCCUCAUUUUUGCACCAAAUUUUGCCUAUAACUCGGUCGGUAUCCAACAGAUCGCCAAUCUUUAAACUGUGGUCGAUAGAUGGCACCAAUGGCUACAUUUUCUUCUUGGACGGCCAUGCCCUCAGAUGUCUGUGCCAGAAGUUAUUCGAGCAACCAAGUUCCUUAUCCUGUUUGAGAAAAUGUAAAAUUUUCCUCAUUUUUCUGCAAUUCAGCAAAAUUUUUAAAUGUGAUAUAAUUUAAUGCGAAUUUGUUGCAAUAAGUUUCUUUUCACUCAAAUAAUGCUUUAAAUUAAAAAAAGAAUAAAAAAUCAGAAAAAAAAUUCAAAAAAAUUUUUCACUCGAAAAUUUCAUAAGGGGUACCCCUUGCCAUUUUUUUGAGAAAUUUUGCAAAAAAAAUUAAAUUGAUUUAUUUUAAUGCCAAUCGGUUGCAAUGUGUUUCUUUUCACUCAAGUAAUGCUUUAAAUAAAAAAAAGAGUGAAAAAUAAUCAAAAAGUCAAAAAAUUAAAAAAAAUAAAAAUUUACUAAGGCUCAUUUUUGCACCAAGUUUUGCCUAUAACUCGAUCGGUAUCCAACGAAUCGCCAAUCUUUAAACUGUGGUCGAUAGAUGGCACCAAUGGCUACAUUUUCUUCUUGGACGGCCAUGCCCUCAGAUGUCUGUGCCAGAAGUUAUUUGAGUAACCAAGUUCCUUACCCUGUUUGAGAAAAUGUAACAUUUUCCUCAUUUUUGCACCAAUUUUUGUCUAUAACUCGAUCGGUAUCCAACAGAUCGCCAAUCUUUAAACUGUGGUCGAUAGAUGGCACCAAUGGCUACAUUUUCUUCUUGGACGGCCAUGCCCUCAGAUGUCUCUGUCAGAAGUUAUUCGAGGAACCAAGUUCCUUACCCUGUUUGAGAAAAUGUAAAAUUUUCCUCAUUUUUCUGCAAUUCAGCAAAGUUUUUAAAUGUGAUAUAAUUUAAUGCGAAUUUGUUGCAAUAAGUUUCUUUUCACUCAAAUAAUGCUUUAAAUUAAAAAAAGAAUAAAAAAUCAGAUAAAAAUUUCAAAAAAAUUUUUCACUCGAAAAUUUCAUAAGGGGUACCCCUUGCCAUUUUUUUUGAGAAAUUUUGCAAAAAAAAUUAAAUUGAUUUAUUUUAAUGCCAAUCGGUUGCAAUGUGUUUCUUUUCACUCAAGUAAUGCUUUAAAUAAAAAAAAGAGUGAAAAAUAAUCAAAAAGUCAAAAAAUUCAAAAAAAUAAAAAUUUACUAAGGCUCAUUUUUGCACCAAGUUUUGCCUAUAACUCGAUCGGUAUCCAACGGAUCGCCAAUAUUUAAACUGUGGUCGAUAGAUGGCACCAAUGGCUACAUUUUCUUAUUGGACGGCCAUGCCCUCAGAUGUCUGUGCCAGAAGUUAUUCGAGCAACCAAGUUCCUUACCCUGUUUGAGAAAAUGUAACAUUUUCCUCAUUUUUGCACCAAUUUUUGUCUAUAACUCGAUCGGUAUCCAACAGAUCGCCAAUCUUUAAACUGUGGUCGAUAGAUGGCACCAAUGGCUAUAUUUUCUUCUUGGACGGCCAUGCCCUCAGAUGUCUCUGUCAGAAGUUAUUCGAGGAAAAAAGUUUCUUACCCUGUUUGAGAAAAUGUAACAUUUUCCUCAUUUUUGCACCAAUUUUUGUCUAUAACUCGAUCGGUAUCCAACAGAUCGCCAAUCUUUAAACUGUGGUCGAUAGAUGGCACCAAUGGCUAUAUUUUCUUCUUGGACGGCCAUGUUCCAGAUGUCUCUGUCAGAAGUUAUUCGAGGAACCAAGUUUCUUACCCUGUUUGAGAAUAUGUAAAAUUUUCCUAAUUUUUCUGCAAUUCAGCAAAUUUUUUAAAUGUGAUAUAUUUUAUUGCGAAUUUGUUGCAAUAAGUUUCUUUUCACUCAAAUAAUGCUUUAAAUUAAAAAAAAAAUAAAAAAUCAGAAAAAAAUUUCAAAAAAAUUUUCCAUUCGAAAAUUUCAUAAGGGGUACCCCUUGCCAUUUUUUUUGAGAAAUUUUGCAAAAAAAAUUAAAUUGAUUUAUUUUAAUGCCAAUCGGUUGCAAUGUGUUUCUUUUCACUCAAGUAAUGCUUUAAAUAAAAAAAAAAGUGAAAAAUAAUCAAAAAGUCAAAAAAUUCAAAAAAAUAAAAAUUUACUAAGGCUCAUUUUUGCACCAAGUUUUGCCUAUAACUCGGUCGGUAUCCAACGGAUCGCCAAUAUUUAAACUGUGGUCGAUAGAUGGCACCAAUGGCUAUAUUUUCUUCUUGGACGGCCAUGCCCUCAGAUGUCUGUGCCAGAAGUUAUUCGAGCAACCAAGUUCCUUACCCUGUUUGAGAAAAUGUAACAUUUUCCUUAUUUUUGCACCAAUUUUUGUCUAUAACUCGAUCGGUAUCCUAUGGAUCGCCAAUCUUUAACCUGUGGUCGAUAGAUGGCACCAAUGGCUAUAUUUUCUUCUUGGACGGCCAUGCCCUCAGAUGUCUCUGUCAGAAGUUAUUCGAGGAACCAAGUUUCUUACCCUGUUUGAGAAUAUGUAAAAUUUUCCUAAUUUUUCUGCAAUUCAGCAAAAUUUUUAAAUGUGAUAUAUUUUAUUGCGAAUUUGUUGCAAUAAGUUUCUUUUCACUCAAAUAAUGCUUUAAAUUAAAAAAAGAAUAAAAAAUCAGAAAAAAA